ACAUGCUCCGAAAACAAAGGAGUGAAGAAAAUGACCAGGAACCUGAAAAAGGUUCUUCAAAUCCCACGCAAGUUAGCAAAGACAGCCCUCCUACCACCAGCAGAGCUGCCAGAGCUAGCUUCAAACCAAGAUUUAUUGAUGAAGCCAUGCAAUCGCCAAGAAACUCCAAUCUUAACUCACAAAAAGGCUUCUCUGACGGCCCCACUACAACCUUAGCAAACAGAGUCGACAACUUAGAAAAGAAAAUUGACAUUUUAAUGGCCUUAAUCUUACAAAUAAGAAACAAUAAUCUUGACAUGGACACAUCAAAUUAAAUCUAUAUCCUCUUACAUCUAAAUAAACGAUAUCUUUAUCCGAUGGAAAAGCGCACGUCUGUCUGCUUAUAAACCUCCUCCACUGUCACCACCCUUCUCGACGCAGCCUAAUUUAUCUGGAAUAAUAAUUCAAUUAGUGGAUGGCACAAAAACAAUAAACAAUACCCUCACCUCAACGCAUCCGGAUGAGCAAUCCUAAGACAACGCACUCCAGCUGAUCCUGACGAAACGAUGCGGAGAAAACCAACUAGGACAUAAAGGAUGAAUCGGUAGAUCGAUAUGAAAAGGAUUAGUGUGGCAGAA